rnacentral:rRNA from 1 species
GACGUAGGGUGCAAGCGUUGUCCGGAAUCAUUGGGCGUAAAGCGCGUGUAGGCGGUUCGAUAAGUCUGCUGUGAAAGUCCAGGGCUCAACCCCUGGGAUGCCGGUGGAUACUGUCGAGCUAGAGUACGGAAGAGGCGAGUGGAAUUCCCGGUGUAGCGGUGAAAAUGCGCAGAUAUCAGGAGGAACACCGGUGGCGAAGGCGGGUCUCUGGGCCGUAACUGACGCUGAGGAGCGAAAAGCAUGGGGAGCAACAGG